GGGCGUGUGGUUUAGGGGUAUAAUGUUCGCUUCGCAGCUUUCGAGUUCGCAAUUGUGAAAGGUCCUGGGUUCAAUUCCCAGCUCGUCCA